AGAUUAUGCAUCACUCAUCCUUCAAUUAAUAAUCCAAAAUGAAAGGAUUGUUUUUUAUAAUAUGCAUUCUCUUGGCUUCCAUUCUCGCUUUCCCCGCUUCCACCAUGGCUCGCCAACUGGCUGACAAGGCGGCAAUUCCAUCUCCAACUGCAUGUUCACGUGAUCCUACUCGGAGCUGCACUCCAGUGAGACCUCCUAACUGCCCUAUUUACAUUCGAAAUUGCCAUGGAGGAACCCCUUAGAAUACCAUUAUGCUUUUGGAAUAUCACGUCUAAUAAAGUUGCUAGUUCUUCUGUUU